rnacentral:rRNA from 1 species
UCUUUAUAGUAAAUUUAUUUUAAUAGAUUAUUUUAUAUAAAUUAAGUUUUAAUAUUUAGCUAUUUUAUUGGGGUGAUAUAAAAAUUUAAUUAACUUUUUUAAUAAAAUUACUUAAAUUAAAGAUUUUAAAAUUAUGAUCUAUUAUUAAUAAUUCAAAGAAUAAGA